UUAAUAAAAAGUAUAUUUCAUAUCAGUCAAGUAGUAUAUGAAUUUAACCCCUAUAUACUAAACUUUAUCCUAACCUCAUCCCAAUCCCAAUCCCUAAACACUAAAACUAAAACCCUAAUCAAUAAACCCUAAACCCAAAUAUAAGUCAUAAAUCCAAAUAUAAACUCUAAAUCCAAAUAGAAACCUUAAAUCCACAUAUAAACCUUAAACUCAAAUAGAAUGGAACAAAAUAAAUAGCAUAAUAUAUAUUGAUGAAAUUAUGAAAUGUCUACGAUUCCUUGGAAUAAGUUACUGCUGACCCCAACCAUACCCCCUUCACC
rnacentral:lncRNA from 1 species